GACGAACGCUGGCGGCGUGCUUAACACAUGCAAGUCGAACGAAGAGCGAUGGAAGCUUGCUUCUAUCAAUCUUAGUGGCGAACGGGUGAGUAACGCGUAAUCAACCUCCCUUCAGAGGGGGACAACAGUUGGAAACGACUGCUAAUACCGCAUACGAUCUAACCUCGGCAUCGAGGAUAGAUGAAAGGUGGCCUCUACAUGUAAGCUAUCACUGAAGGAGGGGAUUGCGUCUGAUUAGCUAGUUGGAGGGGUAACGGCCCACCAAGGCGAUGAUCAGUAGCCGGUCUGAGAGGAUGAACGGCCACAUUGGGACUGAGACACGGCCCAGACUCCUACGGGAGGCAGCAGUGGGGAAUCUUCCGCAAUGGACGAAAGUCUGACGGAGCAACGCCGCGUGAGUGAUGACGGCCUUCGGGUCCUAAAGCUCUGUUAAUCGGGACGAAAGGCCAU
rnacentral:rRNA from 1 species